AUGGGUACUCCCGAUGAUAGUUAUGCUCAAUGGAUCGAAGCUAAAGGGCGCAUGUCCAUGGUUAGCAUACGACCAAGACUUCCUACAUUGGACAUGAGUGCAUUCAGGAUUUCUAGAAGUGAGCAAGUCUUAAUAGUCAAAGACUGGAACAAAAUUGUGAAGGAUCACAGAGAAGUACUAGGGGGCAGCAAUCAGAAGCAUAGCCCACAAUUAGGAGACAGGUUCAUCUGCAUGCUUCAAUAUGAUGAAUCAGGAGCGCUCCACAUGUUCUAUGCUAUUUUACCUGAGAGAGAGCAGUAG
rnacentral:rRNA from 1 species